rnacentral:lncRNA from 1 species
UUCCCCCUUCUCUCCUCUAUCAAAGCUCUUCCUUUUCUCUCUUCCCAUCAAGCCAACGCCUAAGUUUCUCUCCAAGUUGCUGCCCCCAUCUCUUUUUCUCUCUUCUCCAUAAGUCUAGGGGAGGUACUAACCCAAGCACGAUACCAUAUUCCUUCAUAGAUCCAUUCUCGACAUCCCAAGAAGUCUAGGGGAGGUCCUAACCCUAGCACGCCUUCCAUCAAAUCUAGGAGAGAUCCUAAUCGUAGUACCGCUAUCCUUUCCAUAUCCCCAUACCUUCUUCCAUCUAUCUUUCUUUUAUAAAAUUUCUAGAUCAAGCCUUCCAGCCAUCCUACCACUGUCUAUAUAGAAGAAGAUGAAGGAUUCAAGGAAACGCAUCCACCAUCGGACACAGUGAAAAGUUUAACUUGGUUUAGUUGUCUUGUAUCAAACUUUUAUUUCUCUUCUAUUACGUAUACUUCUUUAUUUGAUCAAUAAAAAAUAUUUUUAUUACAAUCUCCAUAUUUUAUUUUUAGUUUCUUAAAAUCUACUAUUUCUUUCAUUUGUAUUUUUGAAAUAAUCGACCUAAGAUCCCAUAGAUAUGAUCCCGACUCACCCAAUCUAUAUAGUAGUAAGUAGGAUUAAUUUUGGUAGCUAUGACUCCCAUUAAAUUUUGGCACCGUUACCGAAGAGCUUGGCACGAUUGUCUUGAGAAAGAAUAAAAAAAAUAAAAAAAAGUAUAUUUACUACUUUAUUUUUUUAGUUGAU